UCACAACAGUGUCACCUGUAAGUUUUUCUUAUAUUCGCUCAGUUGAGAAAAGGAAAUUCCUGGCACCUCUCCAAUCAGCAUGCCUGGCACCGAGCUGAGCUAUGACUGGCUUUAUACACUAUUUCUUCACUUUUUCUUGAUACUUCUGUUGUUUGUUAGAUCUUAUAAAACUACUUUGAAGUUAAACUAAAACAAACCAGUUGUGCCCAUGUAAGCCAGAAAUACUUUUCAAUCGAUCUCAUUUGGUUAAAGGUUCAGUGUUAAUCUCAGAUACAUUCGUCAGAUACAUUGCAUAUUGAAGAACUAUACUAAAACUAAUCUGUAUUAGUAUAGAAAUACACAAAAAAAAUUGUAACACAUUGUAGAAAUAAAAAAAUACUAAUUGUCAAAUGCCGUGCUUAAAGCAUUGAAAGCACAUUCCCAAUUGUCAGCAAAAUGCCAAUACAACGACUGUUUAGGCAUUAAACUCACGUGCAGAAAAUGAAGUAGACACCCUGUUGAGGGAGACAAUGCUUUUCUUAAAGGGAUGCUAUAGUCAUGAAAACAACUUUAGCUUAAUGAAACAGUUUUGGUGCAUAGCUCAUGGCCCUGCAGUCUCACUGCUCAAUUCAUUACCAUUUAAGAGUAAAAUCACUUUGUUUAUGUAGCCUUAGUCACACCUCCCUGCAUGUGACUUACACAGCCUUCCUAAACACUUCCUGUAAAGUGAGAUCUAAUGUUUACACUUCCCUUAAGAAAUUCGAAAUUAAAGAGAAUUUGCAUUAUCUCUUACUCUGUUAAUAGCUCGCUAGACCCUGCAAGAGCCUCCAGUAUGUAAAUCAAAUUAAAGAGCAGGAGAUAAAAACUUUUAAAAUAAGUAACAUCCGAUUGAAAAUGAAAACAUUUUGUUGUCAUGCAGACCGUGUCAGUCACAGCCAGGGGAGGUGUAACUAGGGCUGCAUAAACAGAAACAAAUAUUAACUCCUAAAAGACAGAGAAUGGAGCAGUAAGACUGCAGGGACACGAUCUACACAACAAAGUUGUUUUGGUGCCUACAGUGUCCCUUUAACCCCUUAAGGACCAAACUUCUGGAAUAAAAGGGAAUCAUGACAUCCCACACAUGUCAUGUGUCCUUAAGGGGUUAAACUAAACAGAAAAAAAUAAAGACGAGAAAGGUUAUUUCGAAUUUCCCACAACCCCUCUUAUUUAGAGGAUUUAUGACAGAUGCGUACCGCAAGGCAGCAGUUAUCUUAGUGCAGAUAUGCAGUGUGCAAGGUACAUUAAUUUUCCCAGUGUGAAAUGUAGAUGUCCUUGCUAUGUCACAUCUACAAAUAAUCCAGUAACAGAGGCAAGUCUGCUAAAAAUAAAACGUGUUAUGUGACAUAUGUAGGCAGGAGGGGAAAUUGCUUUCUGUUAGACCACGACUGGUUGAGAGGACAAUGAGCAAUUAUCUUCGUGAAGGGUACAAGUGAGGAUCUGUAAGCUAAUAAGUAUCACAACUUUUUUUUCAGCUGAUAGAUAAAUCGGUAAUAAAGUCAGUAAUGAAAAGUUCAGUAAAGUUCAACAAGCUAUAAAAUGAUCUGUUUAUUUUUAUCCCGAACAUCUGUAAUCUUUGCUCAGUAGUAUUUCUGUAACCAGCCGCGCGUGAUGUCAUCCCAGCAAUCUGAUAUCCCUGCUUGGCAACUGGCACCAAAUAAUUUAUUUAUUUCCCGGCUCUCACUGAGUAGAGGUACAUAGCUGCAAUCUGCAUUAGAUAAAUCUGUCACCGUGGUAUCACCAACACAUGAUUCUGUCAAGAGAUCAUACACAAGACCCUGCACACGGUAUUUUAUUAGGUGAUUCGUCCAGGUGUCUCUAUACUGACAAUAUGUUUUGUCAACAGAUUUGGAGUUCACGAACAAAUAUUAAAUGGGACAUAAUGAAAAAUUUGAAUUUUUUUUUUUUUACUUGGAAAAAAAAGUAAACCAGUUCUCUAGUGGUGUACGCGAGUUACCCUUGUAGUUUUGCUGUACUCCAUGUUUAUUUUGGGUUUUACUUGUGUGUUAUGUAAAGUGCUGUGCAGCAUGACAAACUGCUUUGUGGUGAUAUAAGUUUCAGUUGAUCUUAAAUAAGAAAUAAUAUUUAAUAAAAAAGUAAAAUAGUUAUUAUAGUUAUAGCACUUUAUAGCACCUUGCAAUUGCAAUUCUACUUGAAGACGUUUGUCACAAUACUCCAGAUUGAGUGGAUUCUACUCAAUGGAAUGGCAACAUUUAGGAUAAAAUUGUUGAUUUUGAAAGAAAAGAAAAAACAAUGCCAACUGAGCUAUAAUCACAGCUAGGCUGUUUUAGCGUAAAUGAUGCCAUUCAGAAUUGAAUUUAUUAUAAUUCAUACAUUAUGGAAAUGAAUGCCGUAGUGCCAAAUUACUAUAUACAAAUACUGUAAGAGUAGUUAAUAAGUGUAGCAUAUUUACACGAACGAAUACAUUGUGCAUCUCCUAAAAUGGUUAACCGGAUACAUUUCAAAGGACACAAUAGUCACCAGAACAACUACAGCUUACUGAAUUUGUUCUGGUGAGUAUAAUCAUUCCCUUCAGGCUUUUUGCAAUAAACACUGAUGUUUACAUUACAGCAUAGGGAAACCUCCACUGGCCACUCCACAGAUGACCGCUAGUGGUGCUUCCUGGGGUAGUGCUGCACUGUGUGCAGUACUGUCAUUCAGUGUCUCCACCCUCUACAUGGAGACACUGAAUAUUCCUCAUAGAGAUGCAUUGAUUCAAUGUAUUGUUAUGAGGAGAUGCUGAGUGGCAUGGGCUGUGUUUGGCUUGUGCUGGCUCUGCCCCUCCCUCCUUGAUAGUCUCAGCAAAUCCUAUGGGGAAGCACCACUUCUGAUGAUGUCAGCCAAGCAGGCAGUUCAGAAGCAGAGCCAACAGAAGACUGCAGUAAGGGUAAAAUUUUGCUCUAUGUGCUUUUGAAGGGAAAUACAUACUGGAGGAGACCAAACCAAAGCAGCUGGAGCAUGGAAAUGCUGAACACCUGUGCUGCACAUUGUACAGCACUGGACUAGGAAGCAGAUUUAGUGGCCAUCUGAGUGACUGCUAUUAGAGGUGUUACUAGGCAGUGAUGUAAACAUGGACUUUUUUCUUAAAAGGCAGUGUUUACAUUGAAAAGACUGCAAAGACAUGCUAUAGACACCAGAACCACUACAUUAAGCUGUAGUGGUUCUGGUGACUAUAGUGUCUAUUUAGGCUAAAGUUGUUUUGGUGCCUAUAUUGUGAAGACUGCAUAUACCUACAAAAAUACUUAACAGUACAGUGACUACAAAAAAUCAGUAAAGGUACAGUGCCACAUCAUUGAACACAUGAAAGUGCAUUAAAGAAAAAAUAAUUCUUAUACAAAAUCAAUUAAAAACAAAUGUCUUGACAGCAUUGUCAAAAGUAAGUAUAGGUACCUGGUACUAAUUUGUAGAUACAUACUACUCCUAGCACAAUUUGAUACUAUUACCGGUUUUCAAGGACAGAUGAAGGUCACCAGGUCUUUGUUUUCAGUUCAAGUCAGAACCUGCCAAAAACUAAAUAAAAACAUAUUAAAAAGUUAUAAGGGAGAAAGAUCAUAAUCCCUAUUCAUACCAAUAGGUUGAAAACGUUUUAUCUCCUUGAUCAAAAAUAACACUUUUUUUUAAAUAAUCUAAGUUUAUCUCCUCCUCUUCUCAAUUCCAUUACAUGGUCUAUUGCUUGGAAUUUUAACGGGGGCUGGCAUCAGAGAAACGUUGUGGAAUCAGAUGCUCUAAUCUAUCACUAUAUGUAGUAGAACAGUGUUUAGAAACCCUGUCUCUAAUUUGUUUGAGUUGGUUUCUCCAACAUAUAUUCUUCCACAGGGUCAUUUAAUAGUUUAUGAAGAAUCGCAUGUGUAGAAACCAUUAACACAUUAUAUGUUUUUCCUGUAAUGUGGUUUGUGAACUUUGGACCUUUGGUAACUAAAUUGCAAGAGGCACAACCUAGGCACGAAUAUGUACCAAAUUUAAACUUGCCAAAACAAUUUUUCCAUUCUAGGAAUCCUACUAAAUUCCUAAAUGUCAGCAUAAGUCCUACUAAUAAUGGCCAGAGUUUACAUAAGAUGUGUAACACCUGUCUGUUAUGAAUUCCAAAAUCAGUCACCAUUGUCAAUCUUUUUUUUUAAUCUCUAUUCUCUUCUUCUCCAGACUCUCACCUGCAGGACUUCUCCAGGGCUGCCGCACCCUUAUGGAAUGCACUCCCGCACAACAUUGGACUCUCCAUACCUUUGCAGCCCUUCAAAAAACAAAGAAUAUGAGGAUGCUGGGGGAUUGCUGUAUCUCUUGUGUAGAGGGAACGUGCCAGCAUUUCUUAUCCAAACACCCCUUAUGUGCAGGAUCAGUCUGAUAAGCAAAUGGUAUAAGUUCUCUAUGUAACGAGUGUCGGACUAAUCGAAG